rnacentral:rRNA from 1 species
UUGAACGCUGGCGGCAUGCCUUACACAUGCAAGUCGAACGCGAAAGCGGGGCAACCCGCAAGUAGAGUGGCGAACGGGUGAGUAAUACAUCGGAACGUAUCCAGUAGCGGGGGAUAACCUCUCGAAAGAGAGGCUAAUACCGCAUACGACCUAGGGGUGAAAGAGGGGGAUCGCAAGACCUCUCACUAUUGGAGCGGCCGAUGUCGGAUUAGCUAGUUGGUGGGGUAACGGCCCACCAAGGCGACGAUCCGUAGCUGGUCUGAGAGGACGACCAGCCACACUGGAACUGAGACACGGUCCAGACUCCUACGGGAGGCAGCAGUGGGGAAUUUUGGACAAUGGGCGCAAGCCUGAUCCAGCCAUGCCGCGUGAGUGAAGAAGGCCUUCGGGUUGUAAAGCUCUUUCGGCUGGGACGAAAAGGUCCGUGUUAACACCACGGAUCCAUGACGGUACCAGCAGAAGAAGCACCGGCUAACUACGU